rnacentral:rRNA from 1 species
AAAUUGAAGAGUUUGAUCAUGGCUCAGAUUGAACGCUGGCGGCAGGCCUAACACAUGCAAGUCGAACGGUAGCACAGAGAGCUUGCUCUCGGGUGACGAGUGGCGGACGGGUGAGUAAUGUCUGGGAAACUGCCCGAUGGAGGGGGAUAACUACUGGAAACGGUAGCUAAUACCGCAUAACGUCGCAAGACCAAAGUGGGGGACCUUCGGGCCUCACACCAUCGGAUGUGCCCAGAUGGGAUUAGCUAGUAGGUGGGGUAACGGCUCACCUAGGCGACGAUCCCUAGCUGGUCUGAGAGGAUGACCAGCCACACUGGAACUGAGACACGGUCCAGACUCCUACGGGAGGCAGCAGUGGGGAAUAUUGCA